rnacentral:rRNA from 1 species
AUGAGGUUUUUAGAUCCGAAGUAUGCUCCCCUGGAUCGACGCUGGAGUCCUGCAGACGCGUAUGCGGACUUGGCGAAGAGUACUGCUAAUGCGGCCAAGUUUUUCGAGGAUCAAGGUGAUAAAGAAGUGGAGAAGUUGUUCUGGUUGCAAUUCAAUGCUCCCGCGCGCCCAUUGCCGUUGAGUGAGAAGAUGGCUGCUGUGGCUGAGCUUCAUAGGCUGUCCGGUCUUGCCAUGCGGUCUAUAAUAGACCAUCUUUGGCCGAAGGAGCCUAAGCCGGACAAUUAUUUUGGUUUAGUGCAACAAUUCCUUGGUGCCGUAUCACGGAUCGAUGCCAUGAGGAGGUCGGUGUGUAUAGAGGGUGCACGGAUGGCUCUUGCCCACGUUAAAGCAUAUUGGACAGAUAUGGAGGCCACCAUCAUUGCAACCCAGAAUCCGGCGGGAGGCCAGGAUCCGGCCGGGCACUACUUGGAACAGGUAAUGGAAGGCGCUCGCUUAAUAGAGGCUCAUUGCUCGAAGAGUGUCAUGUUCGAGUGA